UGCACUGCAGCCUGGGCAGCAAGAGUGAAACUCCAUCUCAAAAAAGAAACAAAAACAAGCAAAAAACAAACGUGUACAAGUUAAAACUUGUAACGUGGUUCUCAAACACCCAUAGAAACCUCGGGAGCUCCAAGGGGUGUGGGGAGGUCGGGCCUGGGGACCUGCGUGGGCCACCUUCGAUGCUGCCUGUAGUCCAAGGAUAGCUUCCUGCAUGUGUGACUUAGUGGGCUGCACAGAGCUGUGUGGCACAGUUUCGUCAGGAGGAGAGAACAGUCUCUGGUCCUGUCUUUUGAGUAGCUGAGAAGCGUAGCCUCUUUGCAGUACUGAUGGGAGAGGGAGUGGAUAUUUUCAGGAAAUUAAACUCGUAAGCUUUACUCCUCUUAGCCUCUUACUGUCGUCUGGCUAUCGUCGUUUCUGUAAGACCUGGUGCCUUUACAACACACACACUCCGCUGACGGUGACUGCUUGAAUUUGCCCACGUGGGAAGCGUCAGCUUGCUGCCCACCUGAUGGGAUUGGAGGGCCGGAGCCAGAGGACGAUGGUGUCUGUUCUAACAGUGGACUUUCUGUUAGAAACAUCCUGUUGUUCACCACACCUGGGACACAAGCUCCUGGCAGUACAGCCCCUGAUGUUCAGCUGCACAGUGAACGCAGAGCUCCGGCGCCACACGUGUCGGGCCUGGGGUUGAGCUUCUGAAGAUUCCAGUGAAGCACGGUCCUGCUCCAACUACCGAGUAGCCCGAGGACAUUCUAGAAACUGCUACCAGUUAGCCCUCAGCGUCUGUGUUUUGGAAGCCGAGGCCAACACAGAGAUUGGCCAACAUCAUUUGUGUUCAUUUAAACUCCUUUCUGAGUGAAAUUCCAUUAAUCUAAGAUCUAGCAGUGAGUGCCAAGGGAAUCACCUGACUUUCGAUCCAUGAUCUUACUUGACGCGUUAUAUUCCGCCCUCCCCACCACCGCCACCACAAGACUUGAAGCCUCUUACUCUCAAGCCACAUGAACACACUCCAGGGUCGGAUCAGAAUCUUUUCAACAAUUGUUUGGGUUGGAGAAAAGGCCUAGGAAGAAGGCAUAAAAGCUGACUCAUUUUAAGCCCCAUUACCAUAAACAUCUUGGUACAGAUUUUCAAUGAAUUAAUUUGAAAUUUACGGCACAUUUGUUCAGGCAAA